rnacentral:rRNA from 1 species
UUNNAUCCUGGUUCGGNUUGAACGNNGGCGCANGGNUUAACACNNNCAAGUNAAGCGGAUGAGUGGGGCUUGCUNCUUGANUCAGCGGCGGACGGGUGAUUAAGGCUUAGGAUUNUGCCUGGUAGUGGGGGAUAACGUUUNGAAAGGAACGUUAAUACCGCAUACUUCCUACGGGAGAAAGUGGGGGAUUUUCGGACCUCACGUUAUCAGAUGAGCUUAGGUCGGAUUAGCUAGUUGGUGGGGUAAUGGCCCACCAAGGCGACGAUCCGUAACUGGUCUGAGAGGAUGAUCAGUCACACUGGAACUGAGACACGGUCCAGACUCCUACGGGAGGCAGCAGUGGGGAAUAUUGGACAAUGGGCGAAAGCCUGAUCCAGCCAUGCCGCGUGUGUGAAGAAGGUCUUCGGAUUGUAAAGCACUUUAAGUUGGGAGGAAGGGCAGUAAGGUAACACCUUGCUGUUUUGACGUUACCAACAGAAUAAGCACCGGCUAACUUCGUGCCAGCAGCCGCGGUAAUACGAAGGGUGCAAGCGUUAAUCGGAAUUACUGGGCGUAAAGCGCGCGUAGGUGGUUCAGCAAGUUGGAUGUGAAAGCCCCGGGCUCAACCUGGGAAUUGCAUCCAAAACUACUGAGCUAGAGUACGGUAGAGGGUGGUGGAAUUUCCUGUGUAGCGGUGAAAUGCGUAGAUAUAGGAAGGAACACCAGUGGCGA